UGCAUUUUCAGUCUGCAGCCUUUAUAAGGAUAUUGCUCCACUGGGAUUAGAAGAAAAUUAUUAGAGGAAAAUAUCAGGUUCAGUCACCGUGCUGUGAAUAUUAUUUCUAGACAGGUCUGUUCUUCAUUUCAUGUUUCCUUCAAAAUGACCUGAAAAUGACCUGUUAAAGAGAAUUUACCUCAAAAUCGGGACAGUAUGCACGGACUCAUACCUACUGGAGACCAUGAACCAUGCUGGGGCAGCAGCUCAGUGCUGGAACAGCUUUCCAGGAGUUUCAAAAGGACUUUCUGAAUUUAAAGAGCAUGUCACCAGAAUACAAUACAGGAAUACAUCUUAGCAUUUGACCUUAUGACUAAACACUUCACAAUUACAGAAUCUCCAGAAUGACACUGAUCUUCUGUAUACUUCAUAUCCUCCUUUCAGUCAUAUAUGGAUAUUUUGGAGAGCGUAG
rnacentral:lncRNA from 1 species